UUUUUUUUUUUUUUCUACACCUUAUAACAUUAUUUUAUUUGGUGCCCACCCUUUCUUUAGUGCACCCACGUAGUGACAUCCUCCUCUCUCUCAUCCUGUGGCCCGUGUGAGAUCACCUUUGACCCUUUCCUUAUUUAUGGCGGUCACGUGCACAACCAAAUCCCAUUGCCGGGUGCAACCUUUACCUAUCGCCGCGCGCAUCUUACCUUACCUCAUCGCUGCGCAUGCACGCAUCUUUUUCAUCGCCGUACGCAAGCCCUCAUUGCCGUGUGACCUAUCCUACCCCAACACCGCAUGAGGUCCAACGCCGGCAGCCACCAUCCCAGCCUCUCUUCCGCUGUGCUCAACCCCGUUGCAGCCACCUAGCUGCCAUCCAUUCCAGCCAGCAAUCACGCUCUUCUCUCACCCACUUCCCUCUGUUGCCAAUCUCGUUCAUCUCUCUCUACCUGGUGCUCCCUCUCUUCCUCAACCUGCUCGUAUAGCCACACCAUCAACAACCAUUUUGAUCACCAAUUCACCGUCUCUUCUCUUUUUCAUUUCACUGCCAUCUACAACUAGGUCCCCAUCUCAGCCACUUCCACCACGUCUUGCUGGCUGUACCUGUCCCUCCACUCUGCGAAUCAUCCCUACAACAACCAUUGCAGCCUCAUCUCUCCUCAAUCCAUCAAGC
rnacentral:lncRNA from 1 species